GGUCUCCUACUUUGGGGUGAUCGAUCAUGGGGCUCCAUGAUUGAUCACCCUGCAGAGGGAGGCC
rnacentral:pre_miRNA from 1 species